UUCCGGUUGAUCCCGCCGGACCUGACUGCUGUCGGAUUGAUACUAAGCCAUGCGAGUCUUUGCAGUAAUGCAAGGCAUACGGCUCAGUAACACGUAGUCAACUUACCCUAUGGACGAGGAUAAUCUCGGGAAACUGAGCAUAAUACUCGAUAGAUCAUAAUGCCUGGAAUGGUUUAUGGUUGAAAUGAUUCGUCGCCAUAGGAUGGGGCUGCGGCCUAUCAGCUCGUUGGUGAGGUAAUGGCCCACCAAGGCGAUUACAGGUACGGGCUCUGAGAGGAGAAGCCCGGAGAUGGGUACUGAGACAAGGACCCAGGCCCUAUGGGGCGCAGCAGGCGAGAAAACUUUGCAAUGUGCGAAAGCACGACAAGGUUAAUCCGAGUGAUUUCUGCUAAAGAAAUCUUUUGCAAGUCAUAAAACCACUAGUGAAUAAGGGGUGGGCAAGUUCUGGUGUCAGCCGCCGCGGUAAAACCAGCACCUCAAGUGGUCAGGAGGAUUAUUGGGCCUAAAGCAUCCGUAGCCGGCUCUGUAAGUUUUCGGUUAAAUCCAUGUGCUCAACGCAUGGGCUGCCGAAAAUACUGCAUAGCUAGGGAGUGGGAGAGGUAGACGGUACUCGGUAGGAAGGGGUAAAAUCCUUUGAUCUAUCGAUGACCACCUGUGGCGAAGGCGGUCUACCAGAACACGUUCGACGGUGAGGGAUGAAAGCUGGGUGAGCAAACCGGAUUAGAUACCCGGGUAGUCCCAGCUGUAAACGAUGCAGACUCGAUGAUGCAUUGGCAUAUAGCCAGUGCAGUGUCGCAGGGAAGCCGUUAAGUCUGCCGCCUGGGAAGUACGUACGCAAGUAUGAAACUUAAAGGAAUUGGCGGGGGAGCACCACAAGGGGUGAAGCCUGCGGUUCAAUUGGAAUCAACGCCGGA
rnacentral:rRNA from 1 species